rnacentral:misc_RNA from 1 species
GAUGAAGAACGCAGCGAAACGCGAUAUGUAAUGUGAAUUGCAGAAUUCAGUGAAUCAUCGAAUCUUUGAACGCACAUGGCGCCUUCCAGUAUCCUGGGAGGCAUGCCUGUCCGAGCGUCGUUUCAACCCUCGAGCCCCCGUGGCCCGGCGUUGGGGAUCUGCCCAGGCAGUCCCCGAAAACCAGUGGCGGACCCGUUACAGGCCCUUCCCUUGCGUAGUAGCAUUCGCCUCGCAUCGGGAGCCGGCGGGCUUCCAGCCUCUAAACCCCCAUCAAGUCCGCCCCGGCGGCACCAAGGUUGACCUCGGAUCAGGUAGGAAUACCCGCUGAACUUAAGCAUAUCGAUAAGCGGAGGA